GACGAACGCUGGCGGCGUGCUUAACACAUGCAAGUCGAACGGAAAGGCUCCAGCUUGCUGGAGUACUCGAGUGGCGAACGGGUGAGUAACACGUGGGUAAUCUGCCCUGCACUCUGGGAUAAGCCUGGGAAACUGGGUCUAAUCCUGGAUAUGACCUUUCUCCUUAUGGGGUUUGGUGGAAAGUUUUGCGGUGUAGGAUGAGCCCGCGGCCUAUCAGCUUGUUGGUGGGGUGAUGGCCUACCAAGGCGACGACGGGUAGCCGGCCUGAGAGGGUGAUCUGCCACAAUGGGACUGAGAUACGGCCCAGACUCCAACGGGAGGCAGCAGGGGGGAAUAUUGCACAAUGGGAGGAAGCCUGAUGCAGAGACGCCGCGUGAGGGAUGACGGCCUUCGGGUUGUAAACCGCUUUCAGCAGGGACGAAGCGUAAGUGACGGUACCUGCAGAAGAAGCACCGGCUAACUAUGUG
rnacentral:rRNA from 1 species